CGAAGUUGAAACACCGGUUCCCAUACGAUCACAGAUGUUAAGCAACGUCGAGUCUAGUCAGUACCUAGAUGGGUGACCGCUAGGGAAUACCAAUGCUGUA